AUUUGUUUUGGAAGAGACCUUCACAUCAGGAGUACAGAACACAAAUACCAUAGGAGAAGCCAUCCAGUCAGCUGCUGCUAUCAAGGAACAGUGAAAAUCUAGAGAAGUCUUUUCAGCUCCAGAAGACUGGAACAAAAGGAGCAAACUGUAAGAGCAACUCCUAUCAAGACUGGCACUAAUAUCUUCCUUUGGGGACAGAGAGGGGGAGUGGAACAUAAAAAUACUGGUUUUCAAAUCAUCACAAGCUAGUUGUUUACACAUGAAGCAUUUUGGAAGAGCUUGCAUGAAGUCGGAAAAAAGUGAUAUAGACACCAGUGAAAAAUAAGUAUCAGCAGAAAACUGAAUUCUUCCACCGAACUUGCACGUGGGCAGAUGCAUUGUUCCAUACACGACGCAGCAGUCGUUACUUUUUUCACUGGAAACCAAGCCUAAUGCAAAUGGUGUAAAAGAGGGCACCUGCUACGUAACAUGACAUAGAAACACAAUCAGAAGCCUGAGCUAUCUGCCCAGAGAGAGAACAUGACCUGAAAAUGUUUUCCUAUAUCGAUCCACGAAAAGAAGGAGAAGCAAGAAUGUGAUUCCCAUUUCAUCCCGAUCAUCCUAUCUUUCUCCAAGACAAAAACUCAACCACACACCCACAAAGGCGCUCAGAGAGACAACAAGGAGCAGCCCAAACAAUUCACAGCCGAGCAACCCGCAGGUUCACGCCCGGGCCUACCAAAGGCCCUCCCAGAGGAGCACAGGGGGACAGUGGCAGGCGGGAACGCAAAUCGGGCAAGGAGCCCCGAGGAACAAGCGCGAAGCCACCAGCCCCAGGCGUGCGGCCCAUGGCCGGGGGCUGCACUUACCCACGU